rnacentral:rRNA from 1 species
CUUUUGACCUCGGAUCAGGUAGGGAUACCCGCUGAGCUUAAGCAUAUCAAUAAGCGGAGGAAAAGAAACCAACAGGGAUUGCCCUAGUAACGGCGAGUGAAGCGGCAACAGCUCAAAUUUGAAAUCUGUGCUCUUUCAGAGUCCGAGUUGUAAUUUGCAGAGGGCGCUUUGGUGUUGGCAGCGGUCCAAGUUCUUUGGAACAGGACGUCACAGAGGGUGAGAAUCCCGUACGUGGUCGCUAGCCUUCACCGUGUAAAGCCCCUUCGACGAGUCGAGUUGUUUGGGAAUGCAGCUCUAAAUGGGAGGUAAAUUUCUUCUAAAGCUAAAUACUGGCCAGAGACCGAUAGCGCACAAGUAGAGUGAUCGAAAGAUGAAAAGCACUUUGGAAAGAGAGUCAAAUAGCACGUGAAAUUGUUGAAAGGGAAGCGCUUGCAGCCAGACUUGCCUGUAGUUGCUUAUCUGGACUUUUGUCCAGUGCACUCUUCUGCGGGCAGGCCAGCAUCAGUUUGGGCGGUUGGAUAAAGGUCUCUGUCAUGUACCUCUCUUCGGGGAGGCCUUAUAGGGGAGACGACAUGCAACCAGCCUGGACUGAGGUCCGCGCAUCUGCUAGGAUGCUGGCGUAAUGGCUGUAAGCGGCCCGUCUUGAAACACGGACCAAGGAGUCUAACAUCUAUGCGAGUGUUUGGGUGUCAAGCCCAGACGCGUAAUGAAAGUGAACGGAGGUGGGA